rnacentral:lncRNA from 1 species
AAACUUAUGUGACAUUUAUUCUGUGAUUAAGUAGCUUUGUUUUAGCUCUUCUCAGACCUUUGUGCAUUAAAAAAUGGCAACCAAAGACUAUCAGUUAAGUGCAACAUUUAUGUAAUGUUACAAUUAUAAAAAAAAUAAAAUAAAAUAGUGCCAUGAUCUACUGUAUUAAUGGAUCCAAUUUCUUUUUUUUAUCUCAACAUUAACAGCUAUGCUCACAUGGAGCUCUGCACAGUCAAAGAAGGGGAAUUUAUGACCUAAAGUGGGGUAGAGAGGUUUUUAUCUCUGCUCUGGCUUGUGACUCAGCCUUGGCUGUAAUGACACAGCAGAACACCGUAACACUUAGAGACCGAUAUCCUGGGUCAAGUAAAGGAAAGUUUCCUUUAAAUCAAAAGUUAAUUGUUUUUAAAGGAAGAGGAAGCAUGUUUUAGAUACGGAGAAGUCCUUCAGAAGGGGGACAAAUAAAGCUCAACUGCGAUCCAGUGGGUGCUCCCUCGCUCAUGCUGACAAACUCCAUUGCAGACGCUUGACCAGUACAACACGCACAGAGCUGACUCGGCUCAAUGGUUCCCAAUCUGGCCAGAUGGCCAAACUUCAGGUUGGUGUGCAAAUGAUUUCUAGAAGAGUAGCACAGUCCACCAAAGCCAGGCGGGAAACACUAGAAGGUAUU